GGUUCACUCGGCUGGUUAGAGUGCGGCGCUAACAACGCCAAGGUUGCGGGUUCGAUCCCCGUACGGGCCA
rnacentral:tRNA from 2 species